UUUCUUACAUCAUACACAAAAAUAAACUCAAAAUGGAUGAAAGACCAAAACAUAAGACAGGAAGCCAUCAAAAUCCUAGAAGAGAAAGCAGGCAAUAACUUCCUUGACUUCAGCCACAGCAUCUUCUUACUUCACAUGUCUCUGGUGAUCAGGCAAACCAAAAU